rnacentral:rRNA from 1 species
GACGAACGCUGGCGGCGUGCUUAACACAUGCAAGUCGAACGGAAAGGCCCUGCUUUUGUGGGGUGCUCGAGUGGCGAACGGGUGAGUAACACGUGAGUAACCUGCCCUUGACUUUGGGAUAACUUCAGGAAACUGGGGCUAAUACCGGAUAGGAGCUCCUGCUGCAUGGUGGGGGUUGGAAAGUUUCGGCGGUUGGGGAUGGACUCGCGGCUUAUCAGCUUGUUGGUGGGGUAGUGGCUUACCAAGGCUUUGACGGGUAGCCGGCCUGAGAGGGUGACCGGCGACAUUGGGACUGAGAGACGGCCCAGACGCCUACGGGAGGCAGCGGUGGGGAAUAUGGCAGAAUGGGCGGAAGCCUGAGGUAGCAACGCCGCGUGCGGGAUGACGGCCUUCGGGUUGUAAACCGCUUUCGACUGUGACGAAGCGUGAGUGACGGUAAUGGGUAAGGAAGCACCGGCUAACUACGUG